rnacentral:rRNA from 1 species
UACGAAGGGGGCUAGCGUUGCUCGGAAUGACUGGGCGUAAAGGGUGUGUAGGCGGUUUUCUAAGUUUGGUGUGAAAUCUCCCGCUCAACCGGGAGGGUGCGCCGAAAACUGGGAGACUAGAGUGCGGGAUGGGAGAGUAGAAUUCCUGGUGUAGCGGUGAAAUGCGCAGAUAUCAGGAGGAACACCGGUGGCGAAGGCGGGUCUCUGGGCCGAUACUGACGCUGAGGAGCGAAAGCGUGGGGAGCGAACAGG